UUAAGUUCAGCGGGUAUCCCUACCUGAUCCGAGGCCAACCUGAAAAAUUGGGGUUAUUGGCAAGUAACCACUUGGAUCUCCAAAGCGAGAAGAAUUACUACGCUUGAAGCCAAAUUGCACCGCCACUGAUUUUAAGACCUGCCAGAAACUGGCAAUGUCCAAUACCAAGCAAAGCUUGAGGGUUGUAAUGACGCUCGAAC
rnacentral:misc_RNA from 1 species